GCUUUCCACACAUUUACUGAGUGUGCUAUAAUGGGUCCAAACAAUAACACACAUUUUCUAGGAGUCAAUCCAGAAAAGAAUACAUCUUGUAAUCUAAUUGGUGAAACUAUUGACUUUUCUACAGCACGCCAAGGAACAGAAGCCUCUGGGUUUAACCAGGUCUUCAGGAAAUUCAUUUGGAAUGAUAGACGUUACAGAAUCACCCACCACAACUGGACCAAGCAGCGUGGUGACAGGCAGCGACAGCAGAAGCAACAAAGAGAGGAAUGGACAUGGGAGGAUGAAUUGUUCGGAGAAGGACCCUGGGAUCAGCCUGGAGAAUAUCGCCGCCCCAAAGAAGAACUGGAGGCGGCGAGAGCUGAGAGGCGCUGGUAUGAGGAGAAGCAACAGCGGCAGCAGGAGCAACAAUAUCGGGACUACACUACUUGGGAGGAAAUAGACAGGUGGGCUGUCGACCCAGAGAAAGUGCCGGAGCCCGCCUGGGAUUCGCUGGAGCAGUGCGAAGCAGGUUAUCGGAGAAUGGAGUUGGCGAAGCAAGCAUGGCGGCGCGGACGGAAGACCGAGAGUCAGCCCCAAAAAUGUAUGGGGGGGGGGGCUCAGGGAGAGAGUGGCAGAGUCAGGAGUCAGACCUCAGCCAACUCUCCCUGUUUAUAGUGAGGAGCCAAGGAGGAGACCAGAACCAGAGCCGGUGUUAGAGGUGAGCGAAGCAGAGACUGCGAAGGAGUUAAUGGGGAAAUUGGAGGAGAGAGUUAUGAGGGAGUUGCUAGUUUGGUGCUUUAGGUACGAUAUUCGUCCGACGGAGCGAGUCGGGGAUUUGAUGGCACCUGGGUCAGCGCUCCAUACUCGUCCUGAGGUGCAUGUUAGUCGGCUGGUGAAAAUUGUGCCAGCCUCACGCACUAGGCCUCCUGUGUACCUACCUAGCCUUGCACACCCUGUGCCAGCCCUGCUCUCAGGCUCUCCAGUACACCUUCACGGUCCGGUCCAUCCUGUGCCACCUUCACACACCAGUCCUCCGGUGGCAGCUCCCCGCACCAGGCUUCCUGUGUGUGUCCUCGGUCCAGUACCACCAGUUCCAGCACCACGCACCAGGCCUUCAGUGCGCCUCGCAUGUUCAGCGCUGCCAGAGCCUUUCUCCUCUCCAGUGCUGUCGGAGUCUCCCACCUGUUUAGCGCUGCCGGAGCCUCCCGCCUGUUCAGCGCAGCCAGAGCUUUCCUCCUCUCCUGCGCUGCCGGAGUCUCCCGCCUGUUCAGCGCUGCCAGAGCCUUCCUCCUCUACAGCGCUGCUGGAGUCUCCCGCCUGUUUAGCGCAGCCAGAGCCUUCCUCCUCUACAGCGCUGCUGGAGUCUCCUGCCUGUUCAGCGUAGCCUGAGCUGACGGCCUGCAUGGAGCAGCCUGAGCUGUCAGUCUGCAUGGAGCAGCCUGAGCUGCCAGUCUGCAUGGAGCAGCCUGAGCUGCCAGUCUGCAUGGAGCAGCCAGAUCCGCCAGUCAGCCAGGAUCCACCAGUCACCCAGGAUCCGCCAGUCAGCCAUGAUCUUCCAGAUCCACCAGUCAGCCAGGAUCCGCCAGUCAGCCAGGAUCUGCCAGAACCACCAGCUAGCCAGGAUCUGCCAGAGCCUACUACCUGCCUGAGUUUCCUCUCAGUACUGGGCUUCCUCUCGGUACUAGGCAUCCCCUCAGUGCUGAGCUUCCCCUCAGUGCCGAGCUUCCCCC
ensembl:lncRNA